AGAGUUUGAUUAUGGCUCAGGAUGAACGCUGGCGGCGUGCCUAACACAUGCAAGUCGAACGAGGUAAAUGAGAUGAAGUUUUCGGAUGGAUUCUUAUUUACCGAGUGGCGGACGGGUGAGUAACGCGUGGGUAACCUGCCUCAUACAGGGGGAUAACGAUUGGAAACGAUUGCUAAUACCGCAUAAGCGCACAGUACCACAUGGUACAGUGUGAAAAACUCCGGUGGUAUGAGAUGGACCCGCGUCUGAUUAGCUAGUUGGUGAGGUAACGGCCCACCAAGGCAACGAUCAGUAGCCGACCUGAGAGGGUGACCGGCCACAUUGGGACUGAGACACGGCCCAG
rnacentral:rRNA from 1 species